GCAAGUCGAGCGGUAACAGAACGUAGCUUGCUACUUUGCUGACGCGCGGCGGACGGGUGAGUAAUGCUUGGGAAUAUGCCUUUUGGUGGGGGACAACAGUUGGAAACGACUGCUAAUACCGCAUGAUGUCUACGGACCAAAGUGGGGGACCUUCGGGCCUCACGCCAAAGAUUAGCCUAAGUGGGAUUAGCUAGUUGGUGAGGUAAUGGCUUACCAAGGCGACGAUCCCUAGCUGGUUUGAGAGGAUGAUC
rnacentral:rRNA from 1 species